rnacentral:rRNA from 1 species
AAUUGAACGCUGGCGGCAGGCUUAAACAACAAUGCAAAGUCGAGCGGAAACGAAGAGGAGCUUGCUCCUUUGGCGUCGAGCGGCGGACGGGUGAGUAAUGCUUGGGAAUAUGCCUUUUGGUGGGGGACAACAGUUGGAAAACGACUGACUAUACCGCAUAAUGUUUACGGACCAAAGCGGGGGACCUUCGGGCCUCGUGCCAAAAGAUUAGCCCAAGUAGAGA